rnacentral:rRNA from 1 species
UUAGCGGCGGACGGGUGAGUAACACGUGGAUAACCUACCUAUAAGACUGGGAUAACUUCGGGAAACCGGAGCUAAUACCGGAUAAGAUUUUGAACCGCAUGGUUCAAUAGUGAAAGACGGCCUUGCUGUCACUUAUAGAUGGAUCCGCGCCGUAUUAGCUAGUUGGUAAGGUAACGGCUUACCAAGGCAACGAUACGUAGCCGACCUGAGAGGGUGAUCGGCCACACUGGAACUGAGACACGGUCCAGACUCCUACGGGAGGCAGCAGUAGGGAAUCUUCCGCAAUGGGCGAAAGCCUGACGGAGCAACGCCGCGUGAGUGAUGAAGGUCUUCGGAUCGUAAAACUCUGUUAUCAGGGAAGAACAAACGUGUAAGUAACUGUGCACGUCUUGACGGUACCUGAUCAGAAAGCCACGGCUAACUACGUGCCAGCAGCCGCGGUAAUACGUAGGUGGCAAGCGUUAUCCGGAAUUAUUGGGCGUAAAGCGCGCGUAGGCGGUUUUUUAAGUCUGAUGUGAAAGCCCACGGCUCAACCGUGGAGGGUCAUUGGAAACUGGAAAACUUGAGUGCAGAAGAGGAAAGUGGAAUUCCAUGUGUAGCGGUGAAAUGCGCAGAGAUAUGGAGGAACACCAGUGGCGAAGGCGACUUUCUGGUCUGUAACUGACGCUGAUGUGCGAAAGCGUGGGGAUCAAACGGAUUAGAUACCCUGGUAGUCCACGCCGUAA